rnacentral:rRNA from 1 species
AACGAACGCUGGCGGCAGGCUUAACACAUGCAAGUCGAACGAGAAGGUUCUUUCGGGAAUUGGACAGUGGCGCACGGGUGAGUAACGCGUGGGAAUCUACCAUGGAGUGGGGGAUAACAUUUGGAAACGAAUGCUAAUACCGCAUACGCCCUACGGGGGAAAGAUUUAUUGCUCUAUGAUGAGCCCGCGUAAGAUUAGAUAGUUGGUGAGGUAAUGGCUCACCAAGUCAGCGAUCUUUAGCUGGUCUGAGAGGAUGAUCAGCCACACUGGGACUGAGACACGGCCCAG